CGAAUGCUGACAUAAGUAACGAUAAAGCGGGUGAAAAGCCCGCUCGCCGGAAGACCAAGGGUUCCUGUCCAACGUUAAUCGGGGCAGGGUGAGUCGACCCCUAAGGCGAGGCCGAAAGGCGUAGUCGAUGGGAAACAGGUUAAUAUUCCUGUACUUGGUGUUACUGCGAAGGGGGGACGGAGAAGGCUAUGUUGGCCGGGCGACGGUUGUCCCGGUUUAAGCGUGUAGGCUGGUUUUCCAGGCAAAUCCGGAAAAUCAAGGCUGAGGCGUGAUGACGAGGCACUACGGUGCUGAAGCAACAAAUGCCCUGCUUCCAGGAAAAGCCUCUAAGCAUCAGGUAACAUCAAAUCGUACCCCAAACCGACACAGGUGGUCAGGUAGAGAAUACCAAGGCGCUUGAGAGAACUCGGGUGAAGGAACUAGGCAAAAUGGUGCCGUAACUUCGGGAGAAGGCACGCUGAUAUGUAGGUGAAGUCCCUCGCGGAUGGAGCUGAAAUCAGUCGAAGAUACCAGCUGGCUGCAACUGUUUAUUAAAAACACAGCACUGUGCAAACACGAAAGUGGACGUAUACGGUGUGACGCCUGCCCGGUGCCGGAAGGUUAAUUGAUGGGGUUAGCGGUAA
rnacentral:rRNA from 1 species